rnacentral:miRNA from 1 species
AAGCAUCGCAGCACUUA